rnacentral:rRNA from 1 species
UACGUGGGGUGCGAGCGUUAUCCGGAUUUACUGGGCGUAAAGAGUUCGUAGGCGUUUUGACGCAUUUGGCUUGAAAUACCAAGGCUUAACCUUGGGACCGGGCCAAAUAUGGUCAGAAUUGAGUCGGUUAGGGGGUACUGGAACUAUCGGUGUAGCAGUGAAAUGCGUUGAUAUCGACAGGAACACCAAGGGCGAAGGCAGGUACCUGGGACUUUGACUGACGCUGAGGAACGAAAGCUAGGGGAGCGAAAGGG